UACGGAGGGGGCUAGCGUUGUUCGGAAUUACUGGGCGUAAAGCGCACGUAGGCGGCUUUGUAAGUUAGAGGUGAAAGCCCGGGGCUCAACUCCGGAAUUGCCUUUAAGACUGCAUCGCUAGAAUUGUGGAGAGGUAAGUGGAAUUCCGAGUGUAGAGGUGAAAUUCGUAGAUAUUCGGAAGAACACCAGUGGCGAAGGCGACUUGACUGGACACAUAUUGACGCUGAGGUGCGAAAGCGUGGGGAUCAAACAGGGAUU
rnacentral:rRNA from 1 species